rnacentral:rRNA from 1 species
UACAGAGGGUGCGAGCGUUAAUCGGAAUUACUGGGCGUAAAGCGUGCGUAGACGGUUAUUUAAGCCGGGUGUGAAAGCCCCGGGCUCAACCUGGGAAUUGCAUUCGAGACUGAAUAGCUAGGGUACGGUAGAGGGAAGCGGAAUUUCCGGUGUAGCGGUGAAAUGCGUAGAUAUCGGAAGAACAUCAGUGGCGAAAGCGG